rnacentral:rRNA from 1 species
UACGGAGGGUGCAAGCGUUAUCCGGAUUCACUGGGUUUAAAGGGUAGCGUAGGAGGGCAGGUAAGUUCAGUGGUGAAAUCCUAGACGCUUAACUCUAGACUGCCGUUGAUACUAUCUGUCUUGAAUAUUGUGGAGGGUGAGCGGAAUAUGUCAUGUAGCGGAUGAAAUGCUUAGAUAUGACAUAGAACACCAAUUGCGAAGGCAGCUCGCUACACAUAUAUUGACUCGAGGCACGAAAGCGUGGGGAUCAAACAGG